rnacentral:lncRNA from 1 species
GCACGGUGGUGAUGGGGGACAGCCGUGUGAGUGUCUACGGCCACUGCACUGUGCAGCUGAAAUGGUUCCAAUGGCGAAGUUCGUGUCAUGGGUGUUUCAAGUGAGCAGAGCAGACGCCCAUCCCCCUGGUGGCGUCCCUCUCUGGUCUGACCCCCAGGCACAGCCCCCACCCCUUCCCUGGGUGCCACCUUCAGCAUGGGUGUUUCUAGAUCCUGCAGACACAGAGCCGAGACCAGCCCCAGACAGUGGGAGCUCAGCCCGAUGGUGCAGCUAGAAACAGGAGCACUGAGCACAACGUGGUCCCUGGCAGAGGUCUGGACCCACGGCCAGUAACCGAGGAGUCACAGGCCUUCCCUGUGGCACCUGGAGGCUGGAUUGCACGUGGAGGCUGCAUUGCACGUGGAGGCUGCAUUGCAUGUGGAGGCUGGAUUGCACGUGGAGGCUGCAUUGCACGUGGAGGCUGCAUUGCACCUGGAGGCUGGAUUGCACGUGGAGACUGCAUUGCAUGUGGAGGCUGGAUUGCACGUGGAGGCUGCAUUGCACAUGGAGGCUGCAUUGCACGCGGAGGCUGCAUUGCACGUGGAGGCUGCAUUGCAGCAGGAGAGGGAGCUGGAGAGGGGUGGGGUGGGCCACAUCCAGGCUGCAUUGUGGUUCAAACCCGCCACCUGCGAGCCCCUUGGGAGUGGCGGAUGCUGACCACAGAUGCAGCUUCCAGGACCUCCCAGCCCUGCUGCCUCUGAGCUUCAAGAGGGGCCUGAAGAUCUACAUUUUUAUCAAACCCCAGGGUGACUCCGUCACAAAAGUUGGUGAUGGGGCUCAUUCUAAGCAGGGCAUAAGGGAUCAGUUGUGUCCUUGGUGACGCUGAUGGGGUGAGGGGGAUACCUGGGGACAAGGGGGUGGCCAGAGAGCUUUGGGUCAGGUGGAAGACAGAGGCCUGUCCAGGGAAGGGUGGGCAUCACCUCGGCCAGUGCUCAGUGGCCAGGCAGCCCCAGGCUCCAUCCGGAGCCUCUGCAGGGGUGCCAGGGCACAUUGG